rnacentral:rRNA from 1 species
UACGUAGGGCGCAAGCGUUAUCCGGAAUUAUUGGGCGUAAAGAGCUCGUAGGCGGUUUGUCGCGUCUGCUGUGAAAACUCAGGGCUUAACCCUGAGCUUGCAGUGGGUACGGGCAGACUAGAGUGCGGUAGGGGAGACUGGAAUUCCUGGUGUAGCGGUGAAAUGCGCAGAUAUCAGGAGGAACACCGAUGGCGAAGGCAGGUCUCUGGGCCGUAACUGACGCUGAGGAGCGAAAGCGUGGGGAGCGAACAGG